rfam:Sorex araneus cont1.125324, whole genome shotgun sequence.
AGCAAUAAAUCCGACCCCAGCAGUAGCUAAGGGGUAGGUUGUUCUCUGAGGAAGGUAGGGAUUUCUCCGGUACUACCUAAUGGA